AGAGUUUGAUCAUGGCUCAGGAUGAACGCUAGCUACAGGCUUAACACAUGCAAGUCGAGGGGCAGCAUCAUCAAAGCUUGCUUUGAUGGAUGGCGACCGGCGCACGGGUGAGUAACACGUAUCCAACCUGCCGACAACACUGGGAUAGCCUUUCGAAAGAAAGAUUAAUACCGGAUGGCAUAGUUUUCCCGCAUGGGAUAAUUAUUAAAGAAUUUCGGUUGUCGAUGGGGAUGCGUUCCAUUAGGCAGUUGGCGGGGUAACGGCCCACCAAACCUACGAUGGAUAGGGGUUCUGAGAGGAAGGUCCCCCACAUUGGAACUGAGACACGGUCCAAACUCCUACGGGAGGCAGCAGUGAGGAAUAUUGGUCAAUGGACGAGAGUCUGAACCAACCAAGUAGCGUGAAGGAUGACUGCCCUAUGGGUUGUAAACUUCUUUUAUACGGGAAUAAAGUGAGCCACGUGUGGCUUUUUGUAUGUACCGUAUGAAUAAGGAUCGGCUAACUCCGUGCCAGCAGCCGCGGUAAUACGGAGGAUUCGAGCGUUAUCCGGAUUU
rnacentral:rRNA from 1 species